rnacentral:rRNA from 1 species
GACGAACCUUGCUAACGUUAUUCGGAAUUACUGGGCUUAAAGGGUGCGUAGGCGGUGCGGAAAGUCGGGUGUGAAAUCCCCCAGCUCAACUGGGGAAUUGCGCCUGAAACUACCGUGCUCGAGGAAGACAGAGGUACGCGGAACUUAGGGUGGAGCGGUGAAAUGCGUAGAUAUCUGGAGGAAUACCGGUGGCGAAGGCGGCAUCCUGGACCGGCAUUGACGCUGAGGAGCGAAAGCCAGGGGAGCAAACGGG